UACGAAGGGGGCUAGCGUUGCUCGGAAUCACUGGGCGUAAAGGGUGCGUAGGCGGCUUGUUAAGUGUGAAGUGAAAUCUCCAGGGCUCAACCCGGAAACUGCUUUACAUACUGGCAAGCUGGAGUGAUGCAGAGGUUUGUGGAAUUCCUGGUGUAACGGUGAAAUGUGUUGAUAUCAGGAGGAACACCCAUGGCGAAGGCAGCAAACUGGGCAUCAACUGACGCUGAGGCGCGAAAGCUAGGGGAGCAAACGGG
rnacentral:rRNA from 1 species